UACGUAGGGGGCGAGCGUUGUCCGGAUUCAUUGGGCGUAAAGAGCUCGUAGGCGGCUGUUCAAGUCGAUUGUGAAAACUCGGGAGCUCAACUCCGAGCCUGCGUUCGAUACUGGACGGCUAGAGUCUGGUAGGGGGACCUGGAAUUCCUGGUGUAGCGGUGGAAUGCGCAGAUAUUAGGGGGAACACCAGUGGCGAAGGCGACUCUCUGGACUGUAACGUGACGCUGAGGCACGAAAGCGUGGGGAGCAAACAGG
rnacentral:rRNA from 1 species